GACGAACGCUGGCGGCGUGCCUAAUACAUGCAAGUCGAGCGAAAAGGCCCUGCUUUUGUGGCUUGCUCGAUUGGCGAACGCGUGUGUAACACGCGAGUAACCUGCCCUUGUCUUAGUGAUAACUUCAGGAAACUCGGGCUAAUACCGCAUAGAAGCUCCUGCUGCUUGGUGGUGGUUGGUAAAAUACGGUGGUUGUGGAUGGACUCGCGGCUUAUCAGCUUGUUGGUCGGGUAGUGGCUUACCAAGGUUUCGACGGGUAGCCGGCCUGAGAGGGUGACCGGCCACAUUAGGACUAAGAUACGGACCAGACGCCUACGGGACGCAGCAGUGGGAAGUAUGGCAGAAUGAGCGGAAGCCAGAGACAGAAAAGCCGCGUGCGGAAUGACGGGCUUCGAGUUAAAAACCGAUUUCGAAUGAGAAGAAGCGUGAGUGACGGUAAUGAGUAAGAAAGCAACGGCUAACUACGUG
rnacentral:rRNA from 1 species